rnacentral:tRNA from 1 species
GGAGAUGUCGCUCAGUUGAUAGAGCACUUGUCUCACAUGCAUGAAACCCUGGGUAUCUCCU